GGAGCUGCUUCGAAGAGGGGGAAGGGCACAAGAAAUGCUAGCAAGCUUGGCUUCUCAUUGGGACACCUCCUAAACCAGUUUUGUCUACUCUAAUCCCACCAGGGCAGCAAGGUGGAUAGAGUUUGGCAAAACAAAAUUCAAAUCCUGCCUUAGAAACUUCCUAGCCAUGUAAUCCUGUGCAAGUCACUUGAUUUCUUUCUGUCUCAGUUUCCUCAUUUGUAAAGUGAGGAAAACAAUAAUACCUUCAGUUCUUGUGAGAACCAAAUGAGAUAGGGGGAAGGAGAGAAUAAGCACUUGCUAUAUGUCACUCACUGUGCUAAGCUCUUUUUACAAAUAUUAUCUCAUUUGAUCUUCAGAACAACCCUAUGAGGUAGAUACUAUUGCUAUCCUUAUUUUACAACUGGGGAAACUGAGGCAAACAGAGUUCUUUAGGGUUUUAUUGUAUGGGUUUUUUUUUUUGCACUCUCUCCACCAAGCCAUCAGCUGGCUCAAUAUUUGUAAGUCACUUUAUGUUUUUAAAAAGAAAUAUAUAACUGCUAGCUAUACAUAAAACCUACAAUGUUAGGCCUGGGGGGAGCCAAGGAACCCAGUCCCCUCCUUUUACAGAUAAGGAAAAUGAAAUCCAAUUAAGGUCACUUGUUUAAAGUCAGACUAUGAAUUAACAUUAGCAGUGAGACAAGAGUCCAGUUCCGAUGCUAUCUAAAGAUCUUGUAUACCACAUCACAUUGUCUAGCACACCACAUGGUACGCAGUAGGAGCUUAAUAAAUAACAUGAAUGAUUUGAGCAGAAGAUGGAUGACCUUUUGUCAGGAAUGAUUCUUAUAUUCAGGUAGGGUUCAAACAAACCAAGUUGAUGUGAUUCCAUUCGAUCCAAUAAGCAUUUAUUAAACACCUACUAACAUGUGCCAUAAUGAUGAAAUCCCACAUAUAAACCAUAUGCCAGGUAGUGGAGAUAUGAAAAUAUCACAAUCUCUACCCUCAAGGAGCUUACUUACACUCCAAGAGAACCACUACUAUCAUGUCUUCAGAAGACUGAUAAUGGCCCAGACUACCCACCUCCAGUGGAAUCAAUAUGCAUUUUUUAAUGAGGCAAGUAUAAAGGGGAAAUUUAUUUUAUUUGACUGUGAAGAUUUGUUACAAAAGCUUGGUUUUUUUUCUAUUGAGGGGAAGAGGGGAAAAUAAAUGCUUAUUAAUUUAAAAAGAAAAGAUAAUCCACCACUAUCAUGCUGAAGUCUAGGUUUUUGAUAUGAAAAAAAAAAAUGAAUCCUCCUUUUCAAAAGAGUUGGGGCUCCCUGAAUUAAGUGAGUUCUUGUGAGUCGGAGAAUCUCUCGUUCCAGGCAAGGACUCCUAAGGAGAGAAAGCCUGGCUCCCCACUUAAGCAGCCAGUCUCAGGCCUGGACUGUGCCCUGAACGCCAUAUCCCCUUGACUCUGGCAUCCUCCCUAACAGAUUCCAAAUGAUCUUCCCAAUAGAGGGAUCCACCAUGAACUAAUGAGUUGGACCACACUCAAGUCAAGAACAGCGACCUGGCCUCAGGCAGCUCAGACAAUCCCUAUAUAUGGGGCCUGCAUCGUCUUGGCCUUGGAUCCUCCUGGUCCUGGCCCUUGGCCUCUGCCCUCUACCUAAGGCUGCCCUUCCUUCUCCUCCCCCCCACCUCCCCCUUCCCUCAGGAUGGAGGCCCCCCCUUUUUUGAAGGGCGUUUUUCACCUCCCUUUUGUUACCUGAACAAUAAGUAACCCAGGUAGUUAGUUAUAAACUCCAGCAGGAACAAGAGUCUGGUUGAUAAUUUAUAGCAACAUCUCAAAUUUAAAUGGAAAGCAAAUAACAACCUGUUAGCAUUAAAGAAAGCCCAAUCCCCGAGCCUGGCUGCCACACUUGGGCCUCAACGGGGCUCCUCAGCUCCUUCUUCGCCUUUCUCUGGGCCUUACUCCUCACCUCCUCUUGCUAUCCUCCUUUUAGCCUUCUUUCCCCUUCCUCUUCUCGUCCCCUUUUUCCUUUCCCUUUACUUCCAGCACCUACAUCCGCCCUUCUCCUUUCUUUCCCUCUUUCUUCCUCUCAAGUCUCAGGUCCCCUUGCUCCAUUCCAGGAUGGCCCAGUAGUUGGACUUCAACUUGUGAUAUUCUCAGAUGACUCCCCUCCCCAUGGGGCGCUUCACUGAAACCCCCCAGCAGGCUGCUGACUGGCGGAGGCCCCACCCAGGGUUUUCCUGGCAUGCUACAGUAGGAUUCCAUUUCCUUUUCCAGCUCAUUUUACAACAUGAGAAAACUGAGGCAAACUGGAUGGUGACUUUCCACAGCUUAUAAGUAUCUAAGGUCAGAUUUGAACUCAAAUCUUCCUGACUCCAGAACUGUUACCCUACCCUUGAGGGGGAACAGGAAAACAAUAAAUGUCUAUUUGCCCGCACCAUAAAAAAACUGGAGGGGAGCGAUAUAAUACAAGCCUGAAGAAGAGAGAUUGGGAAAGCCUUGAAUGUCAUUCAAAGGUCAUGCCUGAAAACAUGUAUCUCAUUCCACCACUUCCCCAUCAUUUGUCUUCUGAAGUCAAUUAAUCAUUGAAUUGAUCAAUAUGUUUUCUUUCAAAAUCACUCUGUAAACAGUGAAGGAUUUUGAGCAGAAGAGUCAAAAGACUAAAUCUAAGUGAUGAUAAAAGAUAAAAUAGACAAGUUCAGUCACUUAUGGUUUAGGAGCUAUAGCAUGAAUAAAAUCAAUGCAGCCAUAAUAAAAAGAGAAACUAUCGAACGAGGGAAAAUUUUUGCAUUAAUUACAUUUGAUAAAAGUCUGAUCUCUAAGGAAUAAUGGAAAUUGGCAUAUGUAUGUGCCAAUAGAUACAUAUAUGUAUGUAUGAACCAUUUCACAAUAGAUAAGUCAUCCGAGGGUACUAUUUUUCAAAGAAAUAAAAAUGAUGAACAACCAUGGAAAGAAAUUAUAAGAGAAGAAAAAGAGAAUAAUUAUAUUUUGAUUGGUUGUUGUCCUUCAUUCUCAAAGAGGACCAAAAUGAUAUUAUUAUGUCAGAGUCAAGUUACAGUGUGUCUGAUCACGGGUGAUCAAACCAAUAGGAGCUUGGAAUGCUUUGCCACAGGUAAUCCACAAAUAGACCCUAUUAAAGUUUGGGAUGUGCACAUCGUGCACAAAUAGUCCAUGUGAAAAAAUGGCAGAAAUAGUAUGGAUGAUGUCUUUUGAUUCAUGCAUAAAUUGGAUUUCAGUGAAGCAGAAUUGCAUAAAAUUAUUGACCUCUCUCUUCCAGAGUCAUCAAUGACCAGUAGCAGAACAGAAUCAAAAUGGCUUGAGCUGCAAUAAAUGACCUUAGGGUCUUCAAUAUCUAACCAAGCUCUAAGCACUCUACAGCAUCUGUUUCAGCUGCUUUUGUGGCUAUUGGAGCAAAUUGUUCUCAUUUGCCCAUUCAACCAGGGCAGAAUUCUUUAUAAACUUGGGGCAGACACUCUCCUAACUCACCAAUGUGUUUGAACUCCCUUGAUUACCCUCAACCUGGUUUAACCUAUCUACAAAAAUGGUUUACCAGAGUGUGGCCCCUGCAUAUUGAACUUCUUGUAGUCAGGUGAGAGUCAAGUGAAUCAGGUAGACACCAAAGGUGGAAGUACCUCUGAAAAGGGCCAGCAGCCCUAGUACCAGAAGUACUAGUUUUCCCUGAACAAAAACUAUAUCUCAAUAACAAUGUUAAUAUUACCAAUGAUAAUAUCUAUUAUAAUCUAUAAUUAAUAAGAGAAAUGUUCAUUAAAACUGCUCCAAAGCUUGAACUCAUUUCAGUCAUAAUGGCAAUAGUUAAUAUUGGAGAGAUUGUAGGAAGAUAAGCACACUAAUAUACUCCUGAUAAAGCUAUAAAUUGGUCCAAAAAUAGUGAGGAAAACAACUGAGAAUUAUGCAAAGAACGUGAUCCUGUUACCUGGCGCAUGCCACAGGUCACUUAAUGGGUUUUUUCCAUAAAAAACUUUUUUCAUAGCUCUUUGUGGGAGCAAAAAAAAAAAAAAAAACUAGAAAACAAAUAGGAAUGCCUCCACAGCCAAUCAAACAGCCUCCUAUUCACCAUGUAGUCAGCAGACUGGAAUGUCUAAACAUAAUCCAAUAUCUCUCCAAAGUAUUUCUAUUACACGUCCUCUCCAACUCCUGGAGAACAGCUGAAUGAAUCACAGUAUCCAGAUGUAAUGGAAUAUCACUGGGCCAUAAGAAUUGAUACAUAUGAGGAAUGAAUAGAAAUGAUAGAUUUGUAUGAAGUGAAGCAUUCUAAAGAAUAUACCCAAAGGGCUAUCAAAUUGUGCAGACCCUUUGAUCCAGCAGUGUCUCUACUGGGUCUGUAUCCCAAAAAGAUCAUAAAACAGGGAAAAGGACCCACACGUGCAAAAAUGUUCAUGGCAGAGCUUUUUGUAGUGACAAGGAACUGAAAACUGAGUGGACGCCCAUCAGUUGGAGAAUGGCUGAAUAAAGUUAUGGUAUAUGAAUGUCAUGAAAUAUUAUUAUUCUAUAAGAAAUGGUCAGCUGGUUGAUUUCAGAGACGUUUGGAGAGACUUACAGGAAUGGUGUUAAGGGAAGUAAGUAGAAUCAGGAGAACAUUGUCCACAGCAAGAGCAAAAUUAUAGGAUGAUCAAUUGUGAUGGAUGUAGCUCUUUUCAACAAUGAAGUGAUCCAGGCCAGUUCCAAUGGUCUUGUGAUGGAGAGAGGCAUCUGGAUCGAGAUAGAAGAUUGUGGGGAUGGAGUGUGGAUCACAACAUAGCAUUUUCACUUUUUGUUGUUGUUUGCUUGCUUUUUUGGUUUUCUUUCUCAUUUUUUUCCCUUUUUGUGCUGAUUUUUCUUAUGUAGCAUGAUAAAUGUGGAAAUAUGUAUAGAAGAAUUGCUCAUGUUUAACCUAUAUUAGAUUACUUGCCCUCUAAGGGAGGAGGAAGGGGGAAGGAGAGAAGAAAAAAUAUUUGGAACACAAAGUUUUGCCAGAGUGGAUGCUUAAAAUUAUGUAUAUAUUUUGAAAAUAAAAGCUUUAUUUAAAAAAAAAGCAGAGUUCAGAGAACAGGACAUAUGAUGAUUAAAAUAAUAUAAAUAACAUUAAGAAAAAACUAAUCAAAUUCAAUGAAUCUUAAUAAAUGUUGGUCCUAGAAAACUGAUAAAAUAUGUAUUCCCCCCUCUCAGUAGAGAAGUGGAGACUAGAGAUGUAGAAAUGGGGCAAACACUGACAUUUGUUGUUUCUAUUCAUUGGCCUUUGAGUACAUAUUUUUCUUUGUUACAAGAAAGGAUUCAAUGCAACAGAAGGGGUAUGAAAAAUAAUAAAUUAUUUUUAAACAAAAAAAUUAUUAGCUAUAGGAUAUGAAUUAGAUAUCCUACUGCUCCAAAGCACUGCCAAGAUUCCUCUCCAUUAAAGGUAAAACAUCACAUUCCCUCCAGGGAGCCCCAUCUGCCCAUGGCCCUUCAUAGUCAUUUCCAGACUUGUGGUAUUACUCAGGUUAAGAGGAAAUAUUUAGGAUUUCUAGAACAUCCUUCUAACAAGCGUCACCUUUUCCAAAAACUUUUUAAAAUCCUCCAAAAUUAUAGUACUAUUUUUCUGAGCUCUCUCCAAAAAGAGAAAGAAUUAAGAGGAGCUAGAGUGCCAAACAAGUUCUCACAUCAUGUUUCACCAUCCCCAAAAUUUUAACAGUCCUCAAGACUUAUAUAACUAAAUUGGCCAGGAUAUAACUCAUGAUUGAUGUAGCCAUCUUCCUUCUCUGAGACCUCCAUUGUCCACCCAGCUCACAAAUCAGGGAAGGACCAGGUUUGCUC